UAGGGAAUCUUCGGCAAUGGACGAAAGUCUGACCGAGCAACGCCGCGUGAGUGAAGAAGGUUUUCGGAUCGUAAAACUCUGUUGUUAGAGAAGAACAAGGACGUUAGUAACUGAACGUCCCCUGACGGUAUCUAACCAGAAAGCCACGGCUAACUACGUGCCAGCAGCCGCGGUAAUACGUAGGUGGCAAGCGUUGUCCGGAUUUAUUGGGCGUAAAGCGAGCGCAGGCGGUUUCUUAAGUCUGAUGUGAAAGCCCCCGGCUCAACCGGGGAGGGUCAUUGGAAACUGGGAGACUUGAGUGCAGAAGAGGAGGGUGGAAUUCCAUGUGUAGCGGUGAAAUGCGUAGAUAUAUGGAGGAACACCAGUGGCGAAGGCGGCUCUCUGGUCUAUAACUGACGCUGAGGCUCGAAAGCGUGGGGAGCAAACAGG
rnacentral:rRNA from 1 species